rnacentral:lncRNA from 1 species
CUUGUGAUAUAUGAAUAUCACAGUACACAAAUAGUAUAUUCAGUGAUAACUAGAGGUAAUUACCUCAGAACAAAAUGUCGCAUAUAUAAAUUUAAUAAACAUAUAAUACUAAAAGGCGAAUUCUAAUGAUUCAAUGUCUAUGUUUCUAUUGACCCUAAACCCCAUCCUCAUGUUUAUUUCAUUCCUCAACAAAGCAAAUACUAAAAGGCGAAUUUCUAAAAGCAGAAAUAGGUCUAACCAUUAGUUUACAAAAAAAAAGAAAUAGGUCUAACCAAUUGUUUUCUUUUAAAAACAUAUGAUAUUGAAAUUCUAGUGGCUUUUAAUUAGUGUUCUUUUCCGUUACUCCUCGAAUACUUUUGGUGUUUCAUUCAUUCUUCUUUAGCUAGCACACUCAAGUUCCCAAACUUUCCCUCCCUGUUGAAGUGAAGACCGCGAAGUUACCACUAGAAUACAUUAAAAUCCCCUCCACGAGGCACCACCC